rnacentral:rRNA from 1 species
CAGGCCUAACACAUGCAAGUCGAGCGGACCAUUCCUUCGGGGAUGGUUAGCGGCGGACGGGUGAGUAACACGUAGGCAACCUGCCUGUAAGAUCGGGAUAACUACCGGAAACGGUAGCUAAGACCGGAUAGCUGGUUUCUCCGCAUGGGGGAAUCAUGAAACACGGGGCAACCUGUGGCUUACGGAUGGGCCUGCGGCGCAUUAGCUAGUUGGUGGGGUAACGGCCCACCAAGGCGACGAUGCGUAGCCGACCUGAGAGGGUGAUCGGCCACACUGGGACUGAGACACGGCCCAGACUCCUACGGGAGGCAGCAGUAGGGAAUCUUCCGCAAUGGGCGCAAGCCUGACGGAGCAACGCGGCGUGAGUGAUGAAGGUUUUCGGAUCGUAAAGCUCUGUUGCCAAGGAAGAACGCCUCGGAGAGUAACUGCUCUGAGGGUGACGGUACUUGAGAAGAAAGCCCCGGCUAACUACGUGCCAGCAGCCGCGGUAAUACGUAGGGGGCAAGCGUUGUCCGGAAUUAUUGGGCGUAAAGCGCGCGCAGGCGGUCUUUUAAGUUUGGUGUUUAAGCCCGGGGCUCAACCCCGGUUCGCACUGAAAACUGGGAGACUUGAGUGCAGGAGAGGAAAGCGGAAUUCCACGUGUAGCGGUGAAAUGCGUAGAGAUGUGGAGGAACACCAGUGGCGAAGGCGGCUUUCUGGACUGUAACUGACGCUGAGGCGCGAAAGCGUGGGGAGCAAACAGGAUUAGAU